rnacentral:rRNA from 1 species
CAAUAGCGUAUAUUAAAGUUGUUGCAGUUAAAAAGCUCGUAGUUGGAUUUGUGGCGUACGGUGGGUUCCGGGCACUUGUUGUCUGAGUAGCUUGCUGUUGCCAUCCUUGGGUGGAACCUGUGUGGCAUUAGGUUGUCGUGCAGGGGAUGCCCAUCAUUUACUGUGAAAAAAUUAGAGUGUUCAAAGCAGGCUUAUGCCGUUGAAUAUAUUAGCAUGGAAUAAUGAGAUAGGACUUUUUUGCUAUUUUGUUGGUUUGCGCAAAGAGGUAAUGAUUAAUAGGGACAGUUGGGGGUAUUCGUAUUCCAUUGUCAGAGGUGAAAUUCUUGGAUUUUUGGAAGACGAACUACUGCGAAAGCAUUUACCAAGGAUGUUUUCAUUAA